UAGGGAAUCUUCGGCAAUGGACGAAAGUCUGACCGAGCAACGCCGCGUGAGUGAAGAAGGUCUUCGGAUCGUAAAACUCUGUUGUUAGAGAAGAACAAGGACGUCAGUAACUGAACGUCCCCUGACGGUAUCUAACCAGAAAGCCACGGCUAACUACGCGCCAGCAGCCGCGGUAAUACGUAGGUGGCAAUCGUUGUCCGGAUUUAUUGGUCGUAAAGCGGGCGCAGGCGGUUUCUUAAGUCUGAUGUGAAAGCCCCCGGCUCAACCGGGGAAGGUCAUUGGCAACUGGGAGACUUGGGUGCAGAAGAGGAGAGUGGAAGUCCAUGUGUAGCGGUGGAGUGCGUAGAUAUAUGGAGGAACGCCAGUGGCGAAGGCGGCUCUCUGGUCUGUAACAGACGCUGAGGCUCGAAAGCGUGGGGAGCGAACAGG
rnacentral:rRNA from 1 species